AUUGAACGCUGGCGGCAUGCCUAACACAUGCAAGUCGAGCGGAUGAAGGGAGCUUUCUCCUGGUUUCAGCGGCGGACGGGUGAGUGAUUCCUAGGAAUCUGCCUGGUAUUUGGGGAUAACGUCCGUAAACGGGCGCUAAUACCGCAUACGUCCUUAUUUCGAAAGUGGUGGUUCUUCGGAGCUAACGCUAUUAGCUGAGCCUAGGUCGGAUUAGCUAGUUGGUUGGGUAAAGGCUUACCAAGGCGACGAUCCGUAACUGGACUGAGAGGAUGAUCAGUCACACUGGAACUGAGACACGGUCCAGACUCCUACGGGAGGCAGCAGUGGGGAAUAUUGGGCAAUGGGCGAAAGCCUGAUCCAGCAAUGCCGCGUGUGUGAAGAAGGUCUUCGGAUCGUAAAGCACUUUAAGUAGGGAGGAAGAGCAGUAAGUUAAUACCUUGAUGUUUUGACGUUACCAAAAGAAUAAGCCACGGCUAACUUCGCG
rnacentral:rRNA from 1 species